rnacentral:rRNA from 1 species
CCAGACUCCUACGGGAGGCAGCAGUGGGGACUCUUUCGCAAUGGGCUCCCGCCUGACGCCGCUCCGCCGCGUGCUGUCUGAAGGUCUUCGUCUCGUAAACCUCUUUCAGCAGGGCAGCCCGGUCACUGUUCUCAUCAGCAGUGCAUUGACGGUACCUGCAAAGGAAGCACCGGCUAACUCCGUGCCAGCAGCCGCGGUAAUACGGAGGGUGCGAGCGUUAAUCGGAAUUACUGGGCGUAAAGCGUUCGUAGGCGGUAUGUCAAGUCAAGGGUGAAAUCCCCGCGCUCAACGUGGGAACUGCCUUUGAAACUGGCAAACUGGAGUGUGUGAGAGGAUAGUGGAAUUCCAGGUGUAGGAGUGAAAUCCGUAGAUAUCUGGAGGAACAUCAGUGGCGAAGGCGACUAUCUGGCACAUAACUGACGCUGAGGAGCGAAAGCGUGGGUAGCAAACAGGAUUAGAUACCCGCGUAA